AAGUAGGAAUUUAUGCGUUAAGUGCUCAUGAAUGGGGAGUUGUCAUGAGACGAAGAGUCUUCAGACUUUGCGAUAUAUUUUCCGCACCCGUUG
rnacentral:ncRNA from 1 species